GCGCUCUUAGUUCAGCUCGGUAGAACGUAGGUCUCCAAAACCUAAUGUCGUAGGUUCAAAUCCUACAGGGCGUG
rnacentral:tRNA from 1 species